CCCUUAGAUGUUCUGGGCCGCACGCGCGCUACACUGACGAAUGCAACGAGCUUAUAACCUUGGCCGAAAGGUCUGGGUAAUCUCCAAAUUUCGUCGUGAUGGGGAUAGAUUAUUGCAAUUAUUAAUCUUCAACGAGGAAUGCCUAGUAAGCGCAAGUCAUCAGCUUGCGUUGAUUACGUCCCUGCCCUUUGUACACACCGCCCGUCGCUCCUACCGAUUGAAUGGUCCGGUGAAGCGUUCGGACCGUGGCCUUUGGACGGUUCGCCGUCUGUUGGCUGCGGGAAGUUCGUUAUACCUUAUCAUUUAGAGGAAGGAGAAGUCGUAACA
rnacentral:rRNA from 1 species